AGAGUUUGAUCCUGGCUCAGAACGAACGCUGGCGGCGUGGAUAAGACAUGCAAGUCGAACGCGACUUAUCUGGUUAGCGAUAACUAGGUAAGUUGAGUGGCGAAAGGGUGCGUAACACGUGGGAAUCUACCAAGAAGUGGGGAAUAGCUCGGCGAAAGCCGAAUUAAUACCGCAUGUGAUCGAAAGAUCAAAGUCGGGGACCGCAAGGCCUGACGCUUUUUGAGGAGCCCGCGGCCCAUCAGCUAGUUGGCGGGGUAAAAGCCCACCAAGGCUAUGACGGGUAGCUGGUCUGAGAGGACGACCAGCCACACUGGAACUGAGACACGGUCCAGACACCUACGGGUGGCAGCAGUCGAGAAUUUUUCACAAUGGACGAAAGUCUGAUGGAGCGACGCCGCGUGGAGGAUGAAGGUUCUUGGAUUGUAAA
rnacentral:rRNA from 1 species